rnacentral:rRNA from 1 species
CGGACGGGUGAGUAAUGUCUGGGAAACGUGCCUGAUGAGGGGGAGUAACUACUGGAAACGGUAGCUAAUACCGCAUAACGUCGCAAGACCAAAGAGGGGGACCGUUAGGGCCUCUUGCCAUCGGAUGUGCCCAGAUGGGAUUAGCUAGUAGGUGGGGUAACGGCUCACCUAGGCGACGAUCCCUAGCUGGUCUGAGAGGAUGACCAGCCACACUGGAACUGAGACACGGUCCAG